rnacentral:lncRNA from 1 species
GGGUUGGAGUUCGCCAGAGAUAUUAUCACACUGUCGAGCUAACGUUAUCGGUGUAAGUAAAUCCUAGUAUUUCGAGUCUAGGGCAUGUAUAGGGUUUUAAUGUUUUGGACCUCGUAAGCUCAUAUAUGGGAUAGAUUGCAUGUGAAAAGAAAAGUUUUAAAUUGAUUGAAAUUUUUCAGCACGGUUUUUGUGUGAUUGACUGAGUUUAAGUCAGGUAACACCUCG